rnacentral:rRNA from 1 species
AAUGCAGUCGAGCGGACAGAUGGGAGCUUGCUCCCUGAUGUUAGCGGCGGACGGGUGAGUAACACGUGGGUAACCUGCCUGUAAGACUGGGAUAAYUCCGGGAAACCGGGGCUAAUACCGGAUGGUUGUYUGAACCGCAUGGUUCAGACAUAAAAGGUGGCUUCGGCUACCACUUACAGAUGGACCCGCGGCGCAUUAGCUAGUUGGUGAGGUAACGGCUCACCAAGGCGACGAUGCGUAGCCGACCUGAGAGGGUGAUCGGCCACACUGGGACUGAGACACGGCCCAGACUCCUACGGGAGGCAGCAGUAGGGAAUCUUCCGCAAUGGACGAAAGUCUGACGGAGCAACGCCGCGUGAGUGAUGAAGGUUUUCGGAUCGUAAAGCUCUGUUGUUAGGGAAGAACAAGUGCCGUUCAAAUAGGGCGGCACCUUGACGGUACCUAACCAGAAAGCCACGGCUAACUACGUGCCAGCAGCCGCGGUAAUACGUAGGUGGCAAGCGUUGUCCGGAAUUAUUGGGCGUAAAGGGCUCGCAGGCGGUUUCUUAAGUCUGAUGUGAAAGCCCCCGGCUCAACCGGGGAGGGUCAUUGGAAACUGGGGAACUUGAGUGCAGAAGAGGAGAGUGGAAUUCCACGUGUAGCGGUGAAAUGCGUAGAGAUGUGGAGGAACACCAGUGGCGAAGGCGACUCUCUGGUCUGUAACUGACGCUGAGGAGCGAAAGCGUGGGGAGCGAACAGGAUUAGAUACCCUGGUAGUCCACGCCGUAAACGAUGAGUGCUAAGUGUUAGGGGGUUUCCGCCCCUUAGUGCUGCAGCUAACGCAUUAAGCACUCCGCCUGGGGAGUACGGUCGCAAGACUGAAACUCAAAGGAAUUGACGGGGGCCCGCACAAGCGGUGGAGCAUGUGGUUUAAUUCGAAGCAACGCGAAGAACCUUACCAGGUCUUGACAUCCUCUGACAAUCCUAGAGAUAGGACGUCCCCUUCGGGGGCAGAGUGACAGGUGGUGCAUG